rnacentral:rRNA from 1 species
GAUGAACGCUGGCGGCGUGCCUAAUACAUGCAAGUCGAGCGAACAGACGAGGAGCUUGCUCCUCUGACGUUAGCGGCGGACGGGUGAGUAACACGUGGAUAACCUACCUAUAAGACUGGGAUAACUUCGGGAAACCGGAGCUAAUACCGGAUAAUAUAUUGAACCGCAUGGUUCAAUAGUGAAAGACGGUUUUGCUGUCACUUAUAGAUGGAUCCGCGCCGCAUUAGCUAGUUGGUAAGGUAACAGCUUACCAAGGGAACGAGGCGUAGACGACCUGAUAGGGUGAUAGCCCACACUGGAAGUGAGACACGGUCCAGACUCCUACGGGAGGCAGCAGUAGGGAAUCUUCCGCAAUGGGCGAAAGCCUGACGAAGCAACGCCGCGUGAGUGAUGAAGGUCUUCGGAUCGUAAAACUCUGUUAUUAGGGAAGAACAAAUGUGUAAGUAACUAUGCACGUCUUGACGGUACCUAAUCAGAAAGCCACGGCUAACUACGUG